GCCAAGAUGUGGAAUCUGCUGGCUCUUUGUCAGAUUGCCCAGAGGACCAUAAGUACUGCUUCACGCAGGCAGUUUGAAAAUAAAGUUCCAGAGAAACAAAAGCUAUUUCAGGAGGAUAAUGGAAUUUCAGUGCAUCUAAAGGGUGGGGUAGCUGAUGCCCUCCCGUAUAGAGCCACUAUGAUGCUGUUCCACAGUUGGUGGAACAGCAUAUGCCAUAUAUCAGCUAGCUAUGGCUUCAUUUCCCAAGAGGCAGGAUUGACUUCAGUUUAUCAUCCCAGCAGGCAGUUGGUUCAGUUUCAUUCAGCUCUCUAUGGACCAGAUAAAUAAAUGAGUUCUUCUUUGGGGAUCAAUAUUUAUUGACUUAUACUAACUGCCACCAGUAAAGCAGACUUUACCAUGAAAAAAAAAAAGAA